AACGAACGCUGGCGGCAGGCUUAACACAUGCAAGUCGAACGCCCCGCAAGGGGAGUGGCAGACGGGUGAGUAACGCGUGGGAAUCUACCGUACCCUACGGAACAACAGUUGGAAACGACUGCUAAUACCGUAUACGCCCUACGGGGGAAAGAUUUAUCGGGGUAUGAUGAGCCCGCGUUGGAUUAGCUAGUUGGUGGGGUAAAGGCCUACCAAGGCGACGAGCCAUAGCUGGUCUGAGAGGAUGAUCAGCCACAUUGGGACUGAGACACGGCCCAAACUCCUACGGGAGGCAGCAGUGGGGAAUAUUGGACAAUGGGCGCAAGCCUGAUCCAGCAUGCCGCGUGAGUGAUGAAGGUCUUAGGAUUGUAAAGCUCUUUCACCGAUGAAGAUAAUGACGGUAGUCGGAGAAGAAGCCCCGGCUAACUUCGUGCCAGCCGCCGCGGUAA
rnacentral:rRNA from 1 species